rnacentral:misc_RNA from 1 species
GAUGAAGAACGCAGCGAAAUGCGAUAAGUAAUGUGAAUUGCAGAAUUCAGUGAAUCAUCGAAUCUUUGAACGCAUCUUGCGCUCCUUGGUAUUCCGAGGAGCAUGCCUGUUUGAGUGUCAUUUAACUUCUCAACCACAUUGGAUAUUUUUUUUCCGAUGCCGGCUUGGAUGUGGGGGUUGUUUGCAGGCUUUUUGUAACAAAAAAGGUCGGCUCCCCUGAAAUGUAUUAGUGGUAUCUGAGGCUAUUACUAUUAGGUGUGAUAAUUAUCUAUGCCUUUUGGGUAUGCCGCAUGAACAGAUUAUGCUGCUUCUAACGAAAACUAUUUUGAUGAAUUUGACCUCAAAUCAGGUAGGACUACCCGCUGAACUUAAGCAUAUCAAUAGCGGAGGA